AGCUCCCACUGUAUGCUUAUUGCUCUGUGAAAUGAUGCAGAGAAAAUUAUCAUGACCCCUACACAGGGAUGACACACAAAUUUGUAGAGGGUUCUGUAUUUUUU